rnacentral:lncRNA from 1 species
UUUCUUUAAGGUUUUGACAGCGGGAAGUAAAGCCGAGAGUGGCCUAACUGUAGCACUUUUAUUUGCUCUAGUAGUACUGGAGGUGGUGGGGGUGGAGGUUUGAAGGCAGCAGGUGGCGGAGCGGCUAGAUGGGGUGGAGGAGUUGGGGGUGGUGAUGGUGGAGGUUUGAAGGCAGGAGGUGGCGGAGCGGCUAGAUGGGGUGGUGAUGGUGAAGAUUAUGGCAAGAGGUAAACAGAGGAGGAGAGCGCAAAGGAGGGAGAGGGGGGUUGGAGAGAGCAUGAUGGUUUGAGCUCAAUACUCUUCCUUUCUUGAUUCC